UAUUAAAGGCAACGCCUGCCCAGUGAAUAAUUUAACGGCCGCGGUACCCUAACCGUGCAAAGGUAGCGUAAUCACUUGCCUAUUAAUUGUAGGCCUGUAUGAAAGGCAUAAUGAGGGUCCAACUGUCUCUUUUAGCUAAUCAAUCAAACUGAUCUCCUAGUCAAAAAGCUAGAAUGUAACCAUAAGACCAGAAGACCCUGUGAAACUUUAACUAAACUAUUAAACCCAAUAAUAGCUCCUUUGGGUUGGGGCGACCUUGGAAAAAAAAACAACUUCCAAAUAUACAAUACUCUACAGUAUUAACCCAGGCCAACAAGCCAACAACGACCCAGCACAGCUGAUAAUUGAACCAAGCUACUCCAGGGAUAACAGCGCCAUCUUCUUCAAGAGCCCAUAUCAAAAAGAAGGUUUACGACCUCGAUGUUGGAUCAGGACAUCCUAAUGGUGCAACCGCUAUUAAGGGUUCGUUCGUUCAACGAUUAACA
rnacentral:rRNA from 1 species